CAGCCACUAUCCAAACUGUCCAC
rnacentral:miRNA from 11 species